CCAGCCCCGCCGCGGCCGCCAGGCCCUGGCACGCCGGAGGCCGCGCUCCACACCCGGCCCUGCAGCCCCAGCCUGGCCGGGCAGUGGCCGAGUGACCGCGAGUCCCAGCCGGGGGAAGGGCCCAGCAAGGCCAAAGGGUAUUUAAACCAAAGCCUGCGGCAAGCACGCGUCCUGAGCCUACCUCCUCUUGGAAAUUCUGUCAGCUGAACACCACUGGAACCAGGACUGCUAGCUAUAUUAGUUCUCUUCUACAUAUUUUCUGUCUUUUUCUCAUACUCUUUCUGUUUCUUCUUCUUCUAAUUCCCUCUUCCUGAAGUUUUGAGUAACUUCAGAAAAGAUGGGUUUGGAGUUUGCAAAGUUAUAUAGGCUAAGUUAAUGCUUUUUAAAAUGUUCUGUGUUAAUUGAAUACUGUUUUGGCAAAGUUCUCUGACUUUCUGAUGGUUGUCAGUGAUGUUUUUUGUUGUUUGAUCUCUUGAGAAUAUUUUGUCAUUAUUUCUGCUUUGCAUCUAACUCGGGGUACAUCCAAAUCCUUUUAAGAGUCUAAUAAAGCAAGACUUUGGGGCCUUAAAAAGAUAAUUUACUAUUUGCAAUCUGUGUGCUGUAGUAUUGGCGUAGUUGUCACUGCACUAAACCAAACACAACGCAGAGGCAAGCUGCAGGCAAUCCAGGAGACUCCUGGAAUGCAUGGUGGAUAACCUCCUGAGGCGGGUAAUAGAUAACUCUGCCACAGAGGAUGAUGUGGUAAUGGAUCUGAUCAUCACCAAUUUGACCAAAUCAACUGGGGACAUCAAGAGGCAGCCUGACCGGCAGUGAUCAUGCAUGGGUAGAGUUGGCAAACCUGAGGAAUAUGGACCAGGACCUUGAAUUUUAAGAGUAGAAGUUAAUCUAUAGGGCCUUCUGGGAAACUGCCCUCUGGAACAGAAAAGCAGAUCAGAGCUGGCAGAUCUUGAAGGAUGCUUUUCAGAGCACAACAGCUCUCAAUUCUCAUGUGUAGGAUGACAGCAAAGAAUGCCAGAAGACCGAUAUGGAUGAAUCAAGAACUGCUGGUCAGACUUAAACAUAAGGAACAAAUGCACAGUCAGUGUAAGCAGAGGCAGGUAACCUGGGAAGAAUACAGGGACACAAUCAAUUUUUGUAGGGAUGGGGUGAAGAAGGUCAAAGCAUGGCUGAAGGUUAAUUUGGCAAGAUUAAUAAUAAGGCUUCUGCAGGUACAUCAGCCAUAACAGGAAGACCAACCACACUGAUGAAUACAAGUGGUAAAUGGUAACUAUGGAUAAGGAGAAGGCAGAGGCACUGCCUGAUCCCUGGAAUUAUUCAAGGCCAGGUUAUACAGGGCCAUGAACAACCUGAUCUAGUUAGUGGUUUACCUGUCCACAGCAGGUAUUAUGUGAUCUUUAAGGUCCCUUCUAAUCCUAACCAUCUUAUGAUUCAUUGUAUGCUAUAAAAAUAUGUGUAAGUUUCUAAAAAUAUUAGACAUAGAAAUUUAUACUUAAAAAUUGAUUUGAUUUGCUCAAUUAAAGUCUCAAAUGACAAGAGAAACAUAAAUAAACUUUUUAGUCUGAAUUUACUGUACUACAUUUACAGGUCACUUCUUUUGCAUUGUUAGGAUCAGCUUGUUAUUUUUACUCAACUCUUCUAAAAAUAAAAGAUUAAUGUUGGUUUUAAUAAGCUAGAUGAGGGCUCAUUGAAAGAGUUAGUUGGAUCUUUGUUUUGCUAAUGGACAUCAGAGAAUUCUUCAUUUAAGAAUGCAUAAGGAGAACUGGGAUGAAAGAAGUACAAUUACUUUUAAAUAUCUGUCCCCAAAAGCUGGGUAUCAGAUUGGUGAGAGUCCUUAUUUUGAGCUGGUUCAGCAAAUGUUAUUCAUGCCUAAUGCUAUCCUCUAUUUGUUUUCAAAAAAGAGGUUUUAUUAAUUGUCAUUGGUGUAGCUGGCUUCAAAAUGUAGGUCCUCUUUGUUUACACAGAUGUUGUACAUCCAUGGAAACCAUUAAUUCCCCCCAGCAAUUUUCUGCCAAGUUUCUUUUAUGCUUCUCUUGUGGUUGCCCAGAACUCUCAAAGUCUGGUAACAUUAAGCACCUGCAUUUUCCACUGGAGUGUCUUGUCUGUCCCACAUGAAAGGUGGGACAGACACACUUAUCCAGCAGACAUUCUUAGUAUAUUUUUGCCAGGUCAGACCUGGAGCAUUUUAGAGACAGCUAUAGCCCUGACUCAAUGCUCAAGAGUAUUCUUGAGUCUAUUAGAGAUCAUGUUCUGUAAUAUCUGGAUCAUAAAAGGGUAUUUGAGCACUGUUCUUGGGAGAUGAUCCAGCUAUCACACUCAAGGAUACUUUUAUACUAUCUUGUCCAGAGUCAGCUUCUUUCAGGCAUAAAUAUUCAGCAGUGGAAAGAGCAUGUUUUCAUAUCAUGUGUAGGAUUUCUAUGUGAGAGGAAGAAGAUAGAGAUUCCAGUUUUUUCUCCAGAAGCCUUCAUUAAUUCUAAGUGAUGACUGAAGUUAAUGGGACGUUUUCUUCCCACUGAGGUGCAGAUUUAAUGCAUGCUUAAGAACACAGAGAAAGUCUGUCUCAAACGGAAAGCAAAGAGAAUGCAUAGGCUCCUUGAAAGGCUUUAUGAAUUUUCAAACAGGGUCAAAUACAGAGAGAAAAAAAAAUCAACUUCAAUCAUGACUGGCAGUCAAGAACAUACUCAAAUGAUUUCUCCAAAUCUCUUCGGGCUAACAGAGGAAUUAGAGGAGAGGUUUAAGUAUCAGUGACACGGAUCUUCUACUGCUUUUCCUUCAGUAGCAUCUCAGUUCAUGUUUGCUAAGCCUGUUUAUAAACGAUGUGGAAGAUUCAAUCCUUGUUCUUAACCAGACUGAAAGUACUCACCUAUGAAAGUCACCACAUCACAGAACAAGCUCUUUUCCUCACCUGUACUUCUGAGGCAGCAUGGCCCCUGUUGUUGGGAAAGGCCAGAGGAGAGGAUGUUGCUGUCAUAAUCGGUGCAAGCUGCCAAGGAGAUUGAUUUUUCCUCAAUAAAAAUGAAAAUAAAUCAUAUGUAUCAGGUGAUUGGUGAUGAAGUAGAUUUGUGCACACAAAUGGUGGUUCCUAUCAUCUGUGAAAGGAUGUGUCCCAGGGACAAGGGCUGACUUUGUUGGACAAAAGAUACACAAGAGAUGAGGAUUAAUGAACAUAACUCCAAACAUUACCCCCUGGAGAGGUCAGAGACACCCGGUCUGGGAAAAGAUAAGAGAACCAAAGAAGGAGGACCAAGUUAGCAUUGAAGAUGAAGGAAAUGAUAACCAAUAGGAGACUGAAUACUAAGAAUUGUGUAAUUCAAGACCCAACAUAUGAGAAUUUCUUUGGGUUUUGUCUAUAUAGGUAUGUGAAAAGUCUGGUAAGGAGCCAUGUGUAAUGGAAUGAUUUUCACUGCACAACCCAGGCAUGUGUGGAUGAAAUUAUUUCUACUGCACAUCCUGGCCAGAGUAAAGUAAUGUCUUGAUCCUCUUAACACUGAAAAGAUGUUGGAGCGUUUUUAUCUUUCCUGCAUUUUGGUGAUGACAUGAUUGAAAGAGGCUUAAUUGGUGGGUGUCAGCUCUCUUGCUGUCUGUGCUGGGUCUGGCUGAGACAGAGCUAAUAUUCUGUAUGGUAGCCCAUAAUAUGCUGGUUCUUUAGUUCCUUUUUUGGCAAAAUGGUGUUGAUACACCAAUAUUUUAUCUGUUGCUGAAAAAUACCUGUGUCACCCUGAAAACACAGUUUUCUGAGCCUGCUGACACAGUUUCUGAAGACUUUCCCAGGACAGUAACUGUAAACAUAGAUAUGUAUACAUUCUUUCUGAUACACAUCCUUUGAUAGACAUCUCUCACGGCCAGUGCGGUUGGGAAGGUGUUAUCCUGACUGUGGUUGGUCCCUGGCUGUAGUCAGAAACCUAUAAAUUCUGAGAGAGGAAAUAAUGCUCUCUUCUUUUCACCACACCUCGAGCUGUGUUCAUGUGACUUAUUUCGUAUCCAGCAGCAACAUACCUGAAUAUCUUUAAGGUCCUCUAUUUUUUUCCCCUGUUUCCAAAUUGAGAAGCCUUGGGAAGGUUAAGAAAUUGAGAGAAGACAGCCACAACAGCUGAUCAGAUCUGACCAAAGUAAUAUCUUAUACAAUAAUUUGUCAUGUUCAGCAACAAAAAUUCAAGGGAGGGGAAAGACAAAGGAAGCAUCUCUUCUGGUGUUUGUCUUCCAAAUUAGCUAUUAGGUGUGCUUAGGCUCUACUUUCCAGGAAGUGGCUGGACACCUG